rfam:Myotis davidii contig92956, whole genome shotgun sequence.
GCUUGAAUGGCUUAGUGGUUGGGCGUCAGCCUGUGAACCAGGAGGUCAGGGUUUGAUUCCUGGUUAGAGCG